rnacentral:rRNA from 1 species
AGUGAACGCUGGCGGUAGGCCUAACACAUGCAAGUCGAACGGCAGCACAGUAAGAGCUUGCUCUUACGGGUGGCGAGUGGCGGACGGGUGAGGAAUACAUCGGAAUCUACUUUUUCGUGGGGGAUAACGUAGGGAAACUUACGCUAAUACCGCAUACGACCUACGGGUGAAAGCAGGGGAUCUUCGGACCUUGCGCGAUUGAAUGAGCCGAUGUCGGAUUAGCUAGUUGGCGGGGUAAAGGCCCACCAAGGCGACGAUCCGUAGCUGGUCUGAGAGGAUGAUCAGCCACACUGGAACUGAGCCACGGUCCAGACUCCUACGGGAGGCAGCAGUGGGGAAUGUUGGACAAUGGGCGCAAGCCUGAUCCAGCCAUACCGCGUGGGUGAAGAAGGCCUUCGGGUUGUAAAGCCCUUUUGUUGGGAAAGAAAAGCAGCAGGUUAAUACCCCGCUGUUCUGACGGUACCCAAAGAAUAAGCACCGGCUAACUUCGUG